AUUGAGAGUUUGAUCCUGGCUCAGGACGAACGCUGGCGGCGUGCCUAACACAUGCAAGUCGAGCGAUGAAGUUUCCUUCGGGAAACGGAUUAGCGGCGGACGGGUGAGUAACACGUGGGUAACCUGCCUCAUAGAGGGGAAUAGCCUCCCGAAAGGGAGAUUAAUACCGCAUAACAUUGCAGUUUCGCAUGAAACAGCAAUUAAAGGAGCAAUCCGCUAUGAGAUGGACCCGCGGCGCAUUAGCUAGUUGGUAAGGUAAUGGCUUACCAAGGCGACGAUGCGUAGCCGACCUGAGAGGGUGAUCGGCCACAUUGGGACUGAGACACGGCCCAGACUCCUACGGGAGGCAGCAGUGGGGAAUAUUGCACAAUGGGGGAAACCCUGAUGCAGCAACGCCGCGUGAGUGAUGACGGUCUUCGGAUUGUAAAGCUCUGUCUUUGGGGACGAUAAUGACGGUACCCAAGGAGGAAGCCACGGCUAACUACGUGCCAGCAGCCGCGGUAAUACGUAGGUGGCGAGCGUUGUCCGGAUUUACUGGGCGUAAAGGGAGCGUAGGCGGAUUUUUAAGUGGGAUGUGAAAUACCCGGGCUCAACCUGGGUGCUGCAUUCCAAACUGGGAAUCUAGAGUGCAGGAGGGGAGAGUGGAAUUCCUAGUGUAGCGGUGAAAUGCGUAGAGAUUAGGAAGAACACCAGUGGCGAAGGCGACUCUCUGGACUGUAACUGACGCUGAGGCUCGAAAGCGUGGGGAGCGAACAGGAUUAGAUACCCUGGUAGUCCACGCCGUAAACGAUG
rnacentral:rRNA from 1 species